UUAACGCACAGAUAAAGGAAGAUGUUACUCUAAACAUAAUAAAUAAAUUUUAGUUAGGGCUUAACCACGUUCAAAAUAAUAUUAUGGUACAAAUAAAAUUUCCAAAUUAUCGGUUCGACUUUCAGAGAUUAUUUAUUCCAUAAAAUUGAAAGGGACAGACAAGUAUACCGUAUUUUCCUUAUUCUACACAAUGUAAAACUGCUAGAAAAUCCCACCGCAAUACUUCCCCUAUUCUCACUCGGGGAAAAACUUAUUGUAGAUCAAUUUCUAUUAACUUUGUAGGUAUAUAUUUUAUUUUAUUAAUUUUAAAAAUGGCACCCGGUUGUUGGAAAAAUCAAGUAAAACCCGGAAGCUUUAACGCGUUUUGAUAAUGACCGUGAAAACCUGUAUUCCACUUAAGAAUACAAAAAGAGCGUGAUGUUAAAACAAAAUAUCAACACGCGAACUAAAGGGAAAAAUUAUGCAUACAAAAAAGUUGUUUAAACAUUAAUUUUUAUAAAACAACUUGACCUAAUUAACAUCGAUGGGUGUGUUGUGUAGUAGGAUUAGUUUUCACGACCAAAGUGAGUGACACACCCCCAGGUCCCCAACUAGUAUAAAAUCUCAGACGAAGUGCCGUAGAAUCAGAUUUGGUUUUACACAAGUCAAGAAAACAACUUCAAGAUGUUCAAAUUGCUUUUGUUCUUCGCCCUUUUGGCUUUCGCCCUUGCCGCCCCCAAAGCUGCCCCUCAAUUCUAUGAUUCUAUCGGCUAUGGCGGUUAUGCUGGUUAUGGAUAUGGAGGCUAUUCCCCAGUUGGUUAUGGUGGAUACUACGGAGGCUACUACUAAUGAGGCUGUUUUUUGAUCUUGUGUACAACAGGGUCAGUUACAUUUACAAAUUUAAAAAAAUAUAUUUUUGAAGUUUUAUCGUUAACAUUCUUGGGAAACUUUUUUUUGUAAAGUUUUUAGAUGCCAUGGUUCUAAUAAAUUUAUGAAAAACA